ensembl:misc_RNA Metazoa_SRP Metazoan signal recognition particle RNA
GCUGGGGGUGGUGGCGCACGCCUGUGAUCCCAGCUACUUAGGAGGCUGAGGCAGGAGAAUCGCUUGAAUUCAGGAGUCAGAGGUUGCAGUGAGCCGAGAUCACGCCACUGCACUCCAGCCUGGGUGACAGAGUGAGACUCCGCCUCAA